rnacentral:rRNA from 1 species
GGGCCCGCACAAGCGGAGGAACAUGUGGUUUAAUUCGAUGAUACGCGAGGAACCUUACCCGGGCUUGAAAGUUAGCGACCGGUCAAGAAAUUGGCCUUCUCUUCGGAGCGCGAAACUAGGUGCUGCAUGGUUGUCGUCAGCUCGUGCCGUGAGGUGUCGGGUUAAGUCCCAUAACGAGCGCAACCCCUGUUCUUAGUUACCAGCACGUCAUGGUGGGGACUCUAAGAAGACUGCCCGGUGUAAACCGCGAGGAAGGUGGGGAUGACGUCAAAUCAGCACGGCCCUUACGUCCGGGGCGACACACGUGUUACAAUGGCCGGUACAGAGGGCAGCGACAUAGUGAUAUGAAGCGAAUCUCUUAAAGCCGGUCUCAGUUCGGAUUGGAGGCUGCAACUCGCCUCCAUGAAGUUGGAUUCGCUAGUAAUCGCGCAUCAGCCAUGGCG